rnacentral:rRNA from 1 species
GACAGAGGGUGCAAACGUUGUUCGGAAUUACUGGGCGUAAAGCGCGUGUAGGCGGCUUGGCAAGUCGGGUGUGAAAGCCCCGGGCUCAACCUGGGAAUUGCAUUCGAGACUGCAUUGCUGGAGUACGGAAGAGGAAGGCGGAAUUCCCGGUGUAGCGGUGAAAUGCGUAGAUAUCGGGAGGAACAUCAGUGGCGAAGGCGGCCUUCUGGUCCAGUACUGACACUCAAGUGCGAAAGCGUGGGGAGCAAACAGG